AUAUUAUUAAUGUUACGAUAGGUGAGUUGGUGAUCAAUAUGGCUGCCAUUGACCAUUGUUGUUGGGUAGAUAAUAGGGUAUUGAAAGACAAACUAUAUUUUGAUUUUCUUUGAUGUGUCAGCACCUUUUUUUCACACUUCUAAGCUCAUUUUUCAUGUUAAGCUGCUUGCAAAUUAAGGAAUUAGGCAUAACGGUACAAACUGAUCAUUUUUCUCCACCCAGCCUUAAAAAAAGC